rnacentral:ribozyme from 1 species
GAAAAAAUAGUGAAAAAAAAAAGAAAAGAAAUCGAGAUGGAGGCACAACUUCAGUGUAGUGUAAACAUGGGAUGUGUCUGCCUGGCUGUCAUAUGCCUCUCUUCCUUUUUUUUUAUUGUAUUUGUGUGUGUUUGCUUUUCCCCUCCUCAUAUUCGC